UGUGCAAUGACCAUUUGCAGA
rnacentral:piRNA from 1 species